rnacentral:lncRNA from 1 species
GCUUCUCAGCCAUUCGGUAUUCCUCAGUUUGUGUCAUCUUUGGAGUUGGAAAUAUGACUUCAGAGCAUCCUGUUCUUACUGACAAGUCAUUGUACUCAUAAUGCAAGAUGAAGAGCUGAGUGGAUAGAGCUGAUCCUUCAUCUGAUGAAGCACCCUACAGUCAACAGAGCUCUCUUGACAUAUGAUUGGUUCAUGAGUUUCUGUCUUUGUUCUUAACCAUUAAGACCUGUUUUCUGUUUUGGCUGAUGACCACAAGACAUCAAAACAAUGAUCCAGGGCACCUGCUGAUGUACAUAAGAGGACCUGAUAAAUUGCCCUGUCAUUUUGAAAAUAAACAUCUGCCUGGAAAUGUUGGAAACACUAUCCCAAUAUUCACAGCAAUGAAAACAGCACAACUGAGACAUGGGGAAGCCUGGAGUUGCCUUGUAAAGCAGAUGUAACUCAGGAAACACAGAGAGAAUGCAGAAAAAAGCCUGGCAAUGAUGAGAAAGGAUAAAAUAUGUUCUGUGGUCAACAAGGUCUAUCAGCUUACAUGGUGAAGACAAGAACUAAUAGUUUAAGUUUCUCAUUGUCCAUGGAUACAUUGUAUACAUAUAAGAGAAUAGUCUUACAGGAAUUCUUCAUGCCUCCCCGUUGUUUUUCUAGGAAUUAGAAACUAGUUGUCUGCAAUUAGUGUUUAGACAAAAUAGCAAGAUCCAGUAUAGCCACCAAGUAUAUUUAAAGUUUCUCCUGUAACCUUGAAGAAAUUACCUCAGUUAGGUACCUUAGUGAGUACAUCUCUCAGUUGGUGAGACAAAGCCACAUCAUCUCUCUAGUCAAAUGGUAAUGGUGAAACCCCUCUCAACAGAGCCUCGUCCCUUCAUGGUGGCUCCAAGGUAGACUCCUGGAAUGGCAUAAUGGCCAUGCCAAAGUCCUUUAUUUAUCUCUUAGGCUGUGUUCACUUUUGGCCUACUAUAUUCCCAGGAUUGGGGAGGGAAGGAUCCAUACAGUGAAGAGAAUAUUAUCUAGUGUCUCUGUGAUAUGUGUGCUGGGUCUUCAAGGUUAGCCCCUAAAAGAAGAUGAUGGCAGGAAGUUAGGGGCAGUGGUUCAGGACAACCUGGAGGUGGAUAACAGAGGAGGAUACAAUAGAAAUACACUGUACUAUGUCUGAGAUCACUAAGUAAUAAAUAACUUUUUUGAGGAUGAUCACCUAAAAAUCCCCUUCCAUGGAAAUGAUCAUGUUCCAAGAUAUGAACAUCCAUCUCCUCCACUCUACAUCUCUAUGGCUAUUCUGUUCUUGGAGUCUGCAGUCAGUGUGGACAAAGUCCACAGAAUUGCAGCUCACUCACAUCUCUUCCUCUGUUCUUUGCAAGGCACCAGGCUUUGGAAUGUGCCCAAGUCCAAUCCAGACAUCAAGUCACUGGGUUCACAUCUAGGGAACACAUAGGCUGCUCCUGGCUAUUCUUCUCCAGGGGCCCAUGGCUAGGCCUAUAUGAAAGAGGAAAUAAGAACAACAGUCUUGCAGCUUAACUCAAGUGGGGCAGGGAUCACACUCAGCUCCCAUAGUAUACUUUCCCCAGGUUAUGCAGAAGAUGGGGUUUCUUCAAUUUCACAACUUCACCACUCAUCAACUCACAGUGAAGGAAAUGAGGAGAGUCCUCUACUUGAAGGUAAUGCACAGAAGUAAUAAGGGCUUGACUUUGAGGCUCAUGCACAACAGGUAGACAUGACCAUGGUUAGAUAGUUGAAGGUCUUUGAAAUUAAUGCAGGUUCUCAGUAAGAUUUUUUUUUUCAAUAUGGAGCUCAAAGUGACUGAAGAGAGGAACAAAAUAAAAGAUACUAUUUUUAUAAUCUUGUAUACAUUAAAAUCUGUGAGUAUGCACAGUGGCUUGAAUGUCCUCACUGAAACUCAUUUUACACUCAAAUCUCCAUAGUGAGGUAUCAGGAACCAAGAACAUAUGGACUCUCCAAGAAAGGAAUGGAUUUAUCAGUCAUUAAUAUAGUUCAUCAAUGUGGUUCUGAGUGGAACUGUUGUAAUCAAUAGUUUGCCUCAAUACAUUAUCUGUGUUUUCCGUGACGCCGCACAACCUCAGGACCCUUCAGGGAUUUCCCACCAACAAAGAGGCCUUUACCAAAUAUAGGCUGCUGACCUUGGGUUUCAGAAUCAUGAAAGGUAUAAACUGUAUUCUUUAAUGAAUUUCUCUGUCUGCAGCAUUUAGUUAUAGCCAUUGAAAAUAUAAUAGGAGAUGAUGAGAGAAAAUAAAUGCAUCCAUGUUUAUAAUAUAUAUAAUGCAUUAACAUAGGUAAUUUCUAUGUGGCAGAAAUAUGACAUUUAUUUAGCCAUCUUUCUUGUCUUUAUUUUCUAAUUCUCAACAGUGUAUUUGAAUAGCUUUUAUAACAGCAAAAAUUUAUUAAAGAAGGAACAGGUAAUAAAUUUUGUCC